rnacentral:rRNA from 1 species
GGGUGAGUAAUGCCUAGGAAUCUGCCUGGUAGUGGGGGACAACGUUUCGAAAGGAACGCUAAUACCGCAUACGUCCUACGGGAGAAAGCAGGGGACCUUCGGGCCUUGCGCUAUCAGAUGAGCCUAGGUCGGAUUAGCUAGUUGGUGAGGUAAUGGCUCACCAAGGCGACGAUCCGUAACUGGUCUGAGAGGAUGAUCAGUCACACUGGAACUGAGACACGGUCCAGACUCCUACGGGAGGCAGCAGUGGGGAAUAUUGGACAAUGGGCGAAAGCCUGAUCCAGCCAUGCCGCGUGUGUGAAGAAGGUCUUCGGAUUGUAAAGCACUUUAAGUUGGGAGGAAGGGUUGUAGAUUAAUACUCUGCAAUUUUGACGUUACCGACAGAAUAAGCACCGGCUAACUCUGUGCCAGCAGCCGCGGUAAUACAGAGGGUGCAAGCGUUAAUCGGAAUUACUGGGCGUAAAGCGCGCGUAGGUGGUUCGUUAAGUUGGAUGUGAAAUCCCCGGGCUCAACCUGGGAACUGCAUCCAAAACUGGCGAGCUAGAGUAUGGUAGAGGGGUGGGUGGAAUUUCCUGUGUAGCGGUGAAAUGCGUAGAUAUAGGAAGGAACACCAGUGGCGAA